AGUUACGCAAAUAUUAGGUGCUUGAACAAUUCUGAUCCAAUUUCCAUGAACAAAUGCAUGUUGUGGUAAACCGUAUGUGUUCAUUCUACUCCUAUUUUGAGGGAUUGCUUAAUUAGAUAUUGUAUGUUGUGUUCUACAGGAACUUGAUUGGGUCAAAUCCAUUUGCCUCCAAUUCGGUCUAUUUUGUCAUCGAUUCAAAUGGGUCUUUCUCUUUGCAUUUCUGGUUGCACAUUUAUUUUGAUCCCCUGUUUUUUUUUUGUUGCAGGUGUGUUAAAGGAAGACAAUUGAAGUUGAAUAGAAGAAUAGACCUAUAUCUUGCUGUUUUAGUAGAUGUAGAUUCAUGGAGAGCAUCUAAUGGAUUUGCUUGCAGCCAUGGAAGUGGACCCCUUCUAUCCUAUCCAUAAUGUAAUUAUAUGAAGAUAAAUUUACUCAUUGAAUUGCGGUGAUCAGCAACAGGGCAUCUCACCACAUCUAGAUAACAGCCUCCAGGUAAGCUCAGUCCAUUCGACUCCAAUUUGUCUACUCGGUUAUUCUACAGUAUGACCUGUAGAUUCCUACACCAACGACUAGCAAGAUGUUGUCUACAAUUGCCCUGUUUUUCUACUACGUUUGGUCCUGGAUGUUGUAUGAAUGGAAGAAGCUGCAGAAUAGUGACAACUCAUCGUUCUCUUACCCAUAUAUGUGAGGGAAGCAUCAGCUAAAUCAUGAGGAGUGUAGAACUGUAGACUGCUGUUGCCCCACAGAAGGAUGUGGAUGUCGGAACCAAGGUAUACCGCCCGCUCAUUUGCUUAUAAGGCAUUUCCUGACCAUCAUUGUGUCAGCCAGAGCAUUAAUCACGGGACUCCUGAUGUAUCCAUUGCGAUGCAAUAUGUGUGCAAAGCCCUUUUCAGCAUUUCCUAGGAUGUGAAGGAGGAGUGUAGACUGUUGUUGCCCCAAAGAAGGAUGAGGAUGUCGGAACCAAGGUAUAGCGCCCGCUCAUUUGCUUAUAAGGCAUUUCCUGACCAUCGUUGGGUCAGCCAGAGCAUUAAUCACGCACUGAGCUUUCCAAUGAUCCUCCAGCUACGACGAGAAAGUAAAACUAAGAAGCAUUAGAGCUAGAUUAUAGUAAUGAUGAUAAGCUGGCCUCAAGUAGUCCUCUGCCUCUCCCUCUGGAAAAUGUUUGGGUGAUCUGAUAAUGGCCCAUUUGAUCCUUCUUCUGAAUGUAAAUUGGCUAGAUUAGGCAAGAAGGGCUUGAGUGGCAUCUGAGCUCGCUGCUGCUAAUCAACAACCUAUUCUUGGCAUCAAUGCUUUCCAGGCAGGGCUAACAUUUCAAUGGGAGCAAAGCAUCCCAAAAUAUUUGUGGCCUGUGUCCCCAAAGAAGGUAUCAGGCUUGACAUGCCAAGAACCAAAGAAGAGGAGUGCACAUCGUGUGCCACUGAUGAGUCCAUUGUACGGCUACACCACCCGUCAUAAGGAAAACAUCGCUUCUGUCGACUGGAUGGAUGUCGGUUUCCCCGACGAUGACAGAGCGAGCGUCCAUAUCUCCGUGUGCACAAAGUACCGAAGAUGGUUAUCUCAGUAUCAUAUUUGUUAUCUUUAAGAUUUCGUCACCAGAUGUAUGCCAUGUUUUUGAGUAAGCCCGGCAUUCGCUAUGCUUUGUUUAUCCGACAACAUGGUGAAAAAAAGAUGUUAUAUAUUAUAUUGUUA